UAAAAACAAACACGAAGCUUACCUCUUCUUUUACAACAUAGCAGAAAAUUGCUUCAAUUCUAUUUCAAAUUUGGACCCUAGGAAUGUCCCAAAGCUGAUAUAAAGCCUCUUCAUCAAGUCUAGAAUUAAGAAUUUUCGUCAUUCCUUCAACUACCAUACUUAUUUUACUCAAACUUCCUUACUUAAGAGCAACAUAUAUUAAGGGUUUGGUGUGAACGUAGCAACACAAUAGAGUCCUCUCUCUUUCCCUUACCACAUCUCUUAAAUUCCUCAUCAUGCUGUAUGUACAAAAAUAUUUAGAUAUAAUGCAUUAUUCAUGUUUUCCCAUCCUUUUGUUGUCUAGCACUUUUAGGCUUUCUUUGUGAUGCACCAUUAGCCUUUACUCCAAGAGUAUUGUGAAUUUUGGGCUUGACUAUCCUUAAAGUUUUUACAUUUAUUGAACCCAAUGGGCAUUUGGGAUCACUUUCGUUUUGUUUUUCCCUUCACAAACCAACCCUGACAUAGGCAUUUAUAUGAUCUUCUUUCUGUUGAGUUUUAAUGUUAAAGUUUCUAUCUUUGCAGGCUUAGGACUUUGAAUCUUUUUCUAAAGGGCUCACUGGAAGGGAGUUUUAUUGGCUUCAUUCAGUCAAUGAAGAUAACAAAAAGAGGGUAAAAGACAAACAUUUGUGCAGUUUGUGAUUCUUCUUCUAUCCACUCAAUAUUUAUGUUUGUACAUCUUUUUAAUGAUGUGAAAUUCAAGUUACUAUUAACCAUGUGUAUUGAGACUCUAAAUUACAUAGCAGAAGAUAGUUAUUAUUGUUUAUUUAAGUUCUGUACGUAUGAUUUUUUAUGAUGAAAUUCAUUUGAGGGGCAUCAAAUUAUGUUUGGUUCUUUCAUGUUCAUUUUUAUCUCUAAAGAACCCCUCAUCACACCAGACCACCACUUCAUGACUAUUAGACUCCCACAAGAUCCACAGCAUCAAACAAGUCGUUUACUCCGUAAUUCUCAUUCAAAGAGAAUUUCAAGGUGAGCUUUCAUCUCUCUUGAUUUCAUAUAUUCUUGCCUAACACUUGUUUAAAACUUUAUUCCAUGACUGACAGAAAAUUAGAACCUCUUGAUCAAAAACUAAAGAAGGUCCGAUUAUGAUAUUGAAACAAUUUUCUUUCGAGUCACUGGAGAAGGAUUGGGAAGUCUUCUAGGCUUUCAUAAUUAUCCAGAAAGAUGCUUGUCAGAAAUUUUGAGUUGGUUACUUGAUGACAAAGGCGGUGGAAGGCUUGUAUAUGAAAAAUAUGUGCUUAAGUUCCAUGCAUUAAAUCAAGAUGUACUUGUUUUGCUUCUGCUGGAAGUUGAAUAUAAAUCUAGAUCUUUUGCAAUCUCAAUUUUUCAUUAUCAUGGUGUUUAUGAAACAUCAAGAAUGUGUUAGAUUUUGCUUCAGGGCAGGCAAGGCUUAUUAGCAGACCACUUAUCAUAAAGCGAAAAGACAAAAUGGCUUGUUUUCACAUGAUGAGAUCAUAAGAGGAUCACCUGGAGGUGCAGUUGUACAGAAAUAAAGCCUCGAUGAACUUCGACGAAUUGUACUUGAUAUAUGCACGUACAACAUCAAGUGGAAGAUACUGCUGAACAAGUCAUGAUAUAGACUUUGAUGAUGACAUUCAAGGAGUGAAAAUGGGUGACUUUUUAUAUCCCAGCAUGGAUCUGCAGAAAUGUUGCAUUUGUCAUUUGCAUUUUAAUAUCUCAAGUAUAGGUCAUAGGUGCUUCCUCUUUAAAAAUAUUGCUCCAAAAAUUGAGCAGAUGCCUGCACAACACAAGUUCUCAUGGCAUUUUUUUACGAUUGUGUUCUGGAUAUCCACUACUUCUGGGGAAAUGCUUAAGGCACUUCUGGAAUGUCUGCUAGCUCUUUUUGGGACCAACCCAAAAUACUUGUAUGAGGAAAUUCAGAGGGGGAUCUGGUUUCUGAUUUGGCAGUUGCCAAAGCAACUUAGCAGCAAUGGGCAUGGUCGACUACUUUGUUGGACCAAUGUUUUACAUGCUUGUUGGGCUUGGUUGGAACAGUUUUUUUCAUACAAUUUUUGUCCAAAUGCUUAUGAACUCCAUUUCCAUGUGGGAAUUGUAACUGCAUUUAUCUUCCUUUUAUUAAAUUUGAUAGGGUCUCUCACAGUGAUUAGUUGAUACAGAUCCCAGGUGCCCAAGGUUCUGGUGCUUGUCUUGUUGGUCUGUAUGUUAUUUUAUGACCGUAAGCUUAGUAAUUGCCAAGUUUUCAGGGUUAUUCCAAUUAUUCGAGGUAUAUGUUGAUUGAGGCUCUACAACAUGACACUUUUGCUCCCCCAGGUCCAUUAAAUUGAUCACUUCAAAUAUUAAGCUAGUUUUGGAUUCUCUCUCUUGAUGGAAUUUUGGGUUUGUUCAUAAAGAAAAAAAAAUUUUGCUCCCAAUUUGAUCCGUUGGAUGGCAGUUUGUAAUUCUGAUUAGUCAAAAUGGAUUUUUCUCUAA